rnacentral:rRNA from 1 species
CCUACGGGUGGCAGCAGUGGGGAAUAUUGGGCAAUGGGCGCAAGCCUGACCCAGCAACGCCGCGUGAAGGAAGAAGGCUUUCGGGUUGUAAACUUCUUUUUUCAGGGACGAAGAAAGUGACGGUACCCGAGGAAUAAGCCACGGCUAACUACGUGCCAGCAGCCGCGGGAAUACGUAGGUGGCAAGCUUUAUCCGGAUUUACGGGGUGUAAAGGGCGUGGAGGCGGGAAAGCAAGUCAGAGGUGAAAACCAUGGGCUCAACCUGUGGCCUGCAUUUGAAACUGUUUUUCUUGAGUACGGGAGAGGCGGGCGGAAUUCCUCGUGUAGCGGUGAAAUGCGUAGAUAUGAGGAGGAACACCAGUGGCGAAGGCGGUCUGCUGGACAGCAACUGACGCUGAGGCGCGAAAGCGUGGGGAGCAAACAGGAUUAGAUACCCCUGUAGUC